AGGGAAAUUAAUCUUCAUCUCAAACUAUAACCAUUCAUUCUUGAUCAUCUUCAAUACAUUCAAUUCAUCACAUUCAGUUCUUAACAGUUUCAGAAGAUAUGGAUCCCCAGAAGAUGAACUACCAGGCUGGUCAGGCUCAGGGCCAAGCUCAGGAAAAGACUAACAACUUGAUGGACAUGGCUGGCAAUGCUGCUCAGUCUGCUAAGGAAACCGCACAGCAGGCUGGUCAAACAGUGAUGGCAUCAGCACAAGGAGCAGCUGAUGCUGUGAAGAAUGCAACUGGCAUGAACAAAAAUUGAAUGAAGAGGGAUGGAUCCUGAUCAUUCAGUUUCAAUUAAUUUUUGUUUUUCCUUAUUUGUUUUGCAAAUUUCUUGUUGUUGCCAGGGCAUUGUGUAAGAACAUGCUCUAAUUUGGUUUUUGUUUUGAGUGGUGCUCCUUUUUAGGAGCACUCUAUGCUGUAGCUCUCAUUUCAUUAAUCAAUGAAAUUUAUCUUAGAAUAAUUUAAUA